rnacentral:rRNA from 1 species
CAGCCGCCACGGUAAUACGUAGGUGGCGAGCGUUGUCCGGAUUUAUUGGGCGUAAAGGGAGUGUAGGCGGUCUUUUAAGUCUGAUGUGAAAGCCCACGGCUCAACCGUGGAGGGUCAUUGGAAACUGGGAGACUUGAGUGCAGAAGAGGAGAGCGGAAUUCCAUGUGUAGCGGUGAAAUGCGUAGAUAUAUGGAGGAACACCAGUGGCGAAGGCGGCUCUCUGGUCUGUAACUGACGCUGAGGCUCGAAAGCGUGGGGAGCAAACAGGAUUAGAUACCCCCGUAGUCCCUGUCUCUUAUAC